rnacentral:rRNA from 1 species
UACGUAGGGGGCAAGCGUUGUCCGGAUUUAUUGGGCGUAAAGAGCUUGUAGGCGGUUAUACAGGUCCGCUGUGAAAACUGGAGGCUUAACCUCCAGACGUCGGUGGAAACCGUAUAACUAGAGUCCGGAAGAGGAGAGUGGAAUUCCUGGUGUAGCGGUGAAAUGCGCAGAUAUCAGGAAGAACACCCGUGGCGAAAGCGGCUCUCUGGAACGGUACUGACGCUGAGACGCGAAAGCGUGGGGAGCGAACAGG